rnacentral:rRNA from 1 species
GACGAACGCUGGCGGCGUGCUUAACACAUGCAAGUCGAACGGAAAGGCCCCUUUGGGGGUACUCGAGUGGCGAACGGGUGAGUAACACGUGAGUAACCUGCCCUUGACUUCGGGAUAACUUCAGGAAACUGGGGCUAAUACCGGAUAGGAAUCCUUGCUGCAGGGUGGGGGUUGGAAAGCUUCGGCGGUUUUGGAUGGACUGGCGGCUUAUCAGCUUGGUGGUGGGGUAGUGGCUUACCAAGGCUUUGACGGGUAGCCGGCCUGAGAGGGCGACCGGCCACACUGGGACUGAGAGACGGCCCAGACUCCUACGGGAGGAAGCAGUGGGGAAGAUUGCACAAGGGGCGGAAGCCGGAUGCAGCAAGGCCGCGGGCGGGAUGACGGCUUUCGGGUUGUAAACCGCUUUCAGCAGGGGAGAAGCUUGUGGUGACGGUACCUGAAGAAGAAGCACCGGCUAACUACGUG